GGACUCGGUCUGUCAUUGGACGGGCUGCGCGAGCGCCCCGGCCGUGCUUUUAUUUUUAAUACGAGGGAGGGGGUUCCCAGAAAAUACCUCCUCCUGCUGUUCCUCAGCUCUAUCUCGUGAAUAUCAAACAGUCGCCAUCUCCAUAUUGGAAGCAGAAAUCAGAAAACACGGGAAAACAUGAAGAGGCAGUUUCCGACGAUCGCUUGAGCGUGCAGAUGCCGCCCUUCUCCGUUUACGUUACCGCUCCGGGAGUUUAAACGCUAGCGUUCAGACGACGCGCGGGUCAUUUAUUCAGCCCACAUUUGGAGCUUUCAUGGUCAGCUCGCUAACGCUAUAUUAGCAAAGCAGCCUCCAACUACUUGUUAGCCAUUCGGCGCUGGCGCAAUUGAUUUAUUUUGUUAUGCGCGUCGUCCGUACAGGCUGAUUGAUCAAAUGUGUGUCCGCGACGCUUAUUUUAAUGCAACAAAACGCAAAGAUUAGUGGUCGGCUGCAGUCCGUUCGCCCACGCUAACCUGAGCGACAGCAGUCUGGAGAUCUGCCAUUAACUCGACUAGCUGUUAGCACGAGCGGAACACGGACGCGGCCAGAACUCGCUGGAAAAAGGAGCUAACAUCUCGUUUCCAUGGACAACACGUCCAUAAUAACGCAGGUUACGAACCCUAAGGAGGAGGAGAUACUCUCGACAAAUGCUGAGAAAGUUUCGCUGUCUAACAGCAGUCUGAAGAAGAAAAGGACUCGUAGCAUCUUCAGCUCGCUGUUCUGUUGUCUGAGGAGUUACGAUGCUGACACUCCUGCGACCCCCAACAACAACAGCAGUCCCCUGCCUCCACCUGUGGAGGAGAACGGAGGUCCACCAAAGUGUGACCAGGUUGAGGUCAUCCCUGUCCCCAGUCCUCCAGAGAAGUACCUCCUCCCUGAGGUUAACAUUAAUGACUAUGGGAAGAAGUGUGUGGUAAUAGACUUGGAUGAGACGCUGGUGCACAGCUCGUUUAAGCCCAUUAGCAACGCUGAUUUCAUCGUCCCAGUGGAGAUUGACGGCACAGUGCAUCAGGUUUAUGUGCUGAAAAGACCUCAUGUGGACGAGUUCCUGCAGAAAAUGGGCGAGCUGUUUGAAUGUGUGCUUUUCACAGCCAGUCUAGCCAAGCCGCUAAUGCAUGGUAUGCCGACCCAGUGGCUGACCUGCUGGACCAGUGGGGUGUGUUUCGGGCGCGACUCUUCCGGGAGUCCUGCGUUUUCCACAGAGGGAACUAUGUCAAAGACCUGAGUCGGCUUGGGAGAGAGCUCAGGAACGUCAUCAUUGUGGACAACUCCCCCGCUUCCUACAUUUUUCAUCCUGAAAAUGCUGUUCCAGUGCAGUCGUGGUUUGACGACAUGACUGACACGGAGCUGCUGGACCUGCUGCCUUUCUUUGAGGGACUGAGCAAAGAGGAGGACGUGUACGGGGUGCUGCAGAACCUGAGGGGCAGGUAGCAGACCAAACGGCCUGCAGCAGGACACGCACACCAGGACUCUUGACAUAACAGACACUCAAAAUACUGCUCUUUUGAAAAGUGCUUAUGAUAAACCAAAAAACAACAACAACAAAUCAACUUUUUCUUUCCCUUUUUUGACAAUAUUCAAGUCAUAACCAUUCUCUGAGGUGUUGCUAUGCAGGUAGAAAUCUGUAGAGUUAAAGGACUGUGGGGUUUCCUCUCCGACCCAACAAAGUGCCUUUUUUGAAUGUCAUUUUUAUGGGGGAAAUUAACAUUUUGUACACGACAUAUUUCCAGAGAAACCUAAUCUUUACAAGAAAUAUAUGCUUUAAAAACGGAGGCAGGUCGGUCUCUUUUUCGAAAAGCACUGUUAUAAAGAGGCCAGAGAUUUUUAUGUAAAGCUGGAUACACGUCUCCAUCUUUCUUCUUCUUCUUGUGCUCCUUUUAUUUUUCAAGUUUGCUUUAGCUUGUGCCAUUAUAUAGACUGAUAUUAUUAUCUAGACUUGUAUAUGUUUUAGUUUGUUGUUUUUUUUUAAGAGCAAAGGAAUGCAUUUGCACUUGUUAGGUUGCUCGUCUCACAAACCUUGGCCUCUUUUUGCCAACUAACCGAUCUUAAACCCAAAAUGAUAUGUGCCAAUCGCAAAUAUAAACCGUUUCAGCAAACAGGGCCGACGCUAAUUCUGGUGCUUGAGACAAAUUGGACAUUUCAAACAAACCUGAAAAUUGAGCCCAAAAACUAGUUUUUCUUGAUCCGAAUGCCUUGGAUAAGUAGUGUAGACACUGCAGCUGUUGUAUUUUAAGGGGAAGUGUACUUUGCAGAUGCGCAAUUGCAAAUGUAUCCCUUUUUGUUUUUAAUUCUUUUGUUUGAGUCGUUGAGAUUUGGUCCAUAUUUUAAAAUCGUUCAUAAACCAUACCCUGCUGCUGCUACCACUGUAAACUACACUACAGAAACCUCCCUGUAGGUACAACCAGUACCAGCCCAGGGACGAGCGCUGGGCAGCCUGUGCCCAAGCCCCGACUGAGCCUUACAAGGCCCUCCUGAAGUGUUGCCGUUUUGAAAGCGUUGGGCUCAGGCUGCGCAGGCUCUCCAUCACCGCAGUGCCUAAUAAACCGAGAGGAGCGGCGGAGGUGGAUCCGCUGGCAAACAGGCAAUAACCCUCUUCUCCUCUACCCAGAGUCCGCCACGUCAGUUCGGUCACUACUUUAUUUGUCUCCUCCGUCUUUUUCGUCGUCUACCUCUGUCCAUUUCUCUUCAUGCUGUUGUGCGGCAGGCGACGGAGAGCCGUUCGUUCUCACGCCUGUGGUCUUCUGUCAGUAUUCAAAGUGUAUGCUUGUGUUUUUUCCCCACACCUGCUGUUUUAUUUGUGUGUGUGUGUGUGUGUUGACGUGCUGUACAGCCUUCUCUUAUUGUCAAGUUGAUCAUGUUUUGAUUUUUAAGCAUUUAUUUUUAAUAAACACAAUCGUUUUUUUAUUAAAGGAAGAGUUCACCUGAACUUUUUCUCACCCUCUGCUUAUUUCUGUUAAACACAAAAGAAGAUAUUUUGAAGAAUGUUUCCUUUGACUAUCAUUGUAUGUAAUUUGUUUCACUAUUAAAGUCACUUGGUCAACAUUCUUCAAAAUAUCUUCAUUUGUGUUCAACUGAAGAAAAGAAUCUCUAAUGGUUUAUUACUAGUUGUUGCGAGUGGAAGGAGAGAACAUGUUCGGUUUUGGCUGAGCUUUUGCUUUUAAGAACACAAUCAACUCCACACUAUUGUUUUUUUUUCUGCUCACUGUUCAUCUUGUUAAAUUUGUUCUCAAUUUUUUUCUUCACUUCUAACAAGUGUCAGGUGCUGUUUUUAAUACACAUUGGUUUUGGUGAAUUCACGUCAGUGUUUUAAGACGGCACGUCCAGUUAAUUGAUGCCUUGUUUUGUUUUUGUUCAUGAAGCCAUACAGACACGAGUUACUCUGGGUUUGGAUCAGUUUGGAGAGGCUGUACAGUGCUUAUGUUUGGACUAGAUUUCAAGAUGAAUUGAUUCAUGGAUGUCGCAAGUUUUCUUCCGGACUCUGACAUGUUCUAUUAAAGCACCUUUUUAAAAAACA